rnacentral:rRNA from 1 species
AGCAUAUCAUAGCGGAGGAAAAGAAACCCAACAGGGAUUGCCCCAGUAACGGCGAGUGAAGCGGCAAGAGCUCAAAUUUGAAAUCUGGCCUCCCUUGGGGGGUCCGAGUUGUAAUUUGUAGAGGAUGCUUCGGGUGUGGCCGCCGUCUAAGUUCCUUGGAACAGGACGUCGUAGAGGGUGAGAAUCCCGUCUUGGGCGGCCGGUCCGCGCCCGUGUGAAGCUCCUUCGACGAGUCGAGUUGUUUGGGAAUGCAGCUCUAAGCGGGUGGUAAAUUUCAUCUAAAGCUAAAUACUGGCCGGAGACCGAUAGCGCACAAGUAGAGUGAUCGAAAGGUUAAAAGCACCUUGAAAAGGGAGUUAAACAGCACGUGAAAUUGUUGAAAGGGAAGCGCUUGCGGCCAGACUCGAGGGGCGGGGUUCAGCGGGUGCGCGUCACCCGUGCACUCCCCGUCCCCCCGGGCCAGCAUCAGUUUCGACGGCCGGUCAAAGGCCCCCGGAAUGUGUCGUCUCUAGGGACGUCUUAUAGCCGGGGGUGCAAUGCGGCCCGCCGGGACUGAGGAACGCGCUCCGGCUCGGAUGCUGGCGUAAUGGCCGUAAGCGGCCCGUCUUGAAACACGGACCAAGGAGUCUAACAUCCACGCGAGUGCUCGGGUGUCAAACCCGUGCGCGCAGUGAAAGCGAACGGAGGUGGGAGCCCUAGGGCGCACCAUCGACCGAUCCUGAAGUCUUCGGAUGGAUUUGAGUAGGAGCGUGGCCGUUGGGACCCGAAAGAUGGUGAACUAUGCCUGAAUAGGGUGAAGCCAGAGGAAACUCUGGUGGAGGCUCGCAGCGGUUCUGACGUGCAAAUCGAUCGUCAAAUUUGGGCAUAGGGGGCGAAAGACUAAUCGAACCAUCUAGUAGCUGGUUCCUGCCG